UGGGGAAUAUUGGACAAUGGGCGAAAGCCUGAUCCAGCCAUGCCGCGUGUGUGAAGAAGGUCUUCGGAUUGUAAAGCACUUUAAGUUGGGAGGAAGGGUUGUAGAUUAAUACUCUGCAAUUUUGACGUUACCGACAGAAUAAGCACCGGCUAACUCUGUGCCAGCAGCCGCGGUAAUACAGAGGGUGCAAGAGUUAAUCGGAAUUACUGGGCGUAAAGCGCGCGUAGGUGGUUAGUUAAGUUGGAUGUGAAAUCCCCGGGCUCAACCUGGGAACUGCAUUCAAAACUGACUGACUAGAGUAUGGUAGAGGGUGGUGGAAUUUCCUGUGUAGCGGUGAAAUGCGUAGAUAUAGGAAGGAACACCAGUGGCGAAGGCGACCACCUGGACUGAUACUGACACUGAGGUGCGAAAGCGUGGGGAGCAAACA
rnacentral:rRNA from 1 species